rnacentral:rRNA from 1 species
CACGGCGCACGGGUGCGUAACACGUGGGUAACCUGCCCUUCGGUGGGGAAUAACCCCGCGAAAGCGGGGCUAAUUCCGCAUGACAUUCCCUUCGGCAAAGGAGCGCCGGAGGAGGGGCCCGCGCCCGAUUAGCUCGUUGGUAGGGUAAUGGCCUACCAAGGCUAUGAUCGGUAGCCGGUCUGAGAGGAUGGCCGGCCACACUGGAACUGAGACACGGUCCAGACUCCUACGGGAGGCAGCAGUGGGGAAUCUUGCGCAAUGGGCGAAAGCCUGACGCAGCGACGCCGCGUGGGGGAUGAAGCUUCUCGGAGUGUAAACCCCUUUCGACCCGGACGAAAGACGGUACGGGUAUAAGAAG